GGGCACAGGAGCCAAUGUCAGCUUUCAUGUUGAUAUGGAAAGGGGGCAGGGGAGUGCUGGGUAGAGAAGGGUGGGGACCCUAGCGAGGGCUCUGCCCUCGGGCUUGUGCCCUUGGACCUUAGUGAGAACAGGCACUCCUGUUUUCAUGUCCAAAUGUUGCAUUUUCCAAGACUACUCUGGCCUGCUGUGAGCCCCAUUCUGUGUCCAUAAAAAACCCAAGACCCUAGUGGGCACAGACACAAGUGGCUGGACGUCGAGAGGAGCAGAGAAGCAGAAGAGCACACCGACAGACAUCAGCAGAUGCUGGCAGGCUUUUGACAGUGGGGAGAUGUGGAAUUCAGUUGGGGGUGGUCGGUGGAGAGUCUGGCUACUGUUUCAAUGUCUGGGUCAGAAACCUUGGUCUGGGAUGGCCCACUGAAUGGUUUGGAGAGCUCUUUCCUCUUCAGGAAGCACUAAGGUAUUGGCCAGGAGCCAAGAAGUCCUGAAGCACCUUUAUAAACCAGGAAAAAAAAAUUGGGUCUCUCGUUCCACCUGACGAAAAAUGCCCACAGGUGUGGAGUGGCAACCCACCCCUUCAAUCAGGAACCUCAGAAUGUGACAUUUGGAAAUAGCGUGGUUGCAGAUGUAACGAAUUAACUUGGCGACAUACUGGAGUAAGGUGGGCCCUUAACACCCUAUGACUGGAAUCCUUAUAAGAAGAAAAGAAGAGACACAGAGGGAAGACAGCUGCGUGCAGCUGGAAUGAUGCACCUGAAGCCAAGGGAUGCUGCGCAUUGCCAGCCACCACCCAAAACUGGAAAAGGCCAGGAAGGAUUCUUCCCUAGAACCUUCAAAGGCAGCACAGCCCUGCCAACAACUGCAUUCAGACUCUGGCCUCCAGAACUGUGAGAGGAUGAAUUUCUGUCGUUUUCAGCCACCCAAGCUUAGGAAAUGGGUUGCAGCAGACUCGGAAUAAGACAGGCAGCCAGUCAGCCUCCGUGGAAUUCCCAGGCAGCUUGCAGGAGCCACAGUGGGCCCUGGGCUCUGAGAAGGUCUGAGGCCCAGCAGGCGCAGGGGCCUAAACUAUUUCUCUGCAAGGAGGAAGGAAGGUUCAUCCAGAACGUAGAUCCCCUUCCUCCUUCUCACACCUCACAAGGUCACAGCGAGGUGGCUGGGAGGACAGCCAGGGACUUUUCACUGAGAUGUGUGGGAGACAGCUUGGUAGCCCUUGGCCUCUGAAGGGAGGAGGUGGCAUGAAGAAGGGCAGCUUCUGAAAUUCCCAGUUCCUGCUUGAUGACCUGUGUGUAAAGUAUUCCUGUUUAGGUCUCAAAAUCCUCUCAGAAAUAUAAUUCUCAGAAAAUCCAGGCACCCAAUCCAGCUCCCUGGCCUUCCUGAAAUCUGAAGUCAAAGGGGCUGAGCCAGCCUGCCCUGGGUGUCAGGCCUCUGAGCCCAAGCUAAGCCAUCAUAUCCCCUGUGACCCGCACAUACACAUCCAGAUGGCUGGUUCCUGCCUUAAGUGAUGACAUUCCACCACAAAAGAAGUGAAAAUGGCCUGUUCCUGCCUUAACUGAUGACAUUGUCUUGUGAAAUUCCUUCUCCUGGCUCAUCCUGGCUCAAAACCUCCCCCACUGAGUACCUUGUGACCCCCACUCUGCCCACCAGAGAACAACUCCCCCUUUGACUGUAAUUUUCCUUUACCUACCCAAAUCCUAUAAAACAGCCCCACCCCAUCUCCCUUCACUGACUCUCUUUUCAGACUCAGCCCCCCUGCACCCAGGUGAAAUAAACAGCCAUGUUGCUCACAUAAAGCCUGUUUGGUGGUCUCUUCACACGGAUGCGCAUGAAAUUUGGUGCAGUGACUGGGAUCGGGGGACCUCCCUUGGGAGAUCAAUCCCAUGUCCUCCAGUUCUUUGCUCUGUGAAAAAGAUCCACCUACAACCUCAGGUCCUCAGACCCACCAGCUCAAGGAACAUCUCACCAAUUUUAAAUUGGGCAAGCAGCCUCUUCUUACUCUCUUCUCCAACCUCUCUCACUGUCCCUCAACCACUUUCUCCUUUCCACUCUUCAAUCUCUCCCUUCUCUUAAUUUCAAUUCCUUUCAUUUUCUGGUAGAGACAAAGGAGACACAUUUUAUCUGUGGACCCAAAACUCCAGUGCAGGUCACGGACUGGGAAGGCAGCCUUCCCUUGGUGUUUAAUCAUUGCAGGGAAGCCUCUCUGAUUAUUCACCCACGUUUCAAAGGUGUCAGACCAUGCAGGGACACCUGCCUUGGUCCUUCACCCUUAGCGGCAAGUCCUGCUUUUCUGUGGGAGGGGAAAGUACCCCAACCACUUUUCUCCAUGUCUCUACCCCUUCUCCACCUUUCUGGGGGACAAGAAACCCCCAACCCCUUUUCCUUCACCCUUAGUGGCAAGACCCACUUUUCUUGGGGAGGGGCAAGUACCACAUCUUAUCUCUGCACCCGAAUCCCU
rnacentral:lncRNA from 1 species